GGAUUAGAUACCCUGGUAGUCCACGCCGUAAACGAUGUCUACUAGCCGUUGGGGUCCUUGAGGCCUUAGUGGCGCAGCUAACGCACUAAGUAGACCGCCUGGGGAGUACGGUCGCAAGAUUAAAACUCAAAUGAAUUGACGGGGGCCCGCACAAGCGGUGGAGCAUGUGGUUUAAUUCGAAGCAACGCGAAGAACCUUACCAGGUCUUGACAUCCAGAGAACUUACUAGAGAUAGUUUGGUGCCUUCGGGAACUCUGUGACAGGUGCUGCAUGGCUGUCGUCAGCUCGUGCCG
rnacentral:rRNA from 1 species